AGUAACCUGCCUUGGAGUGGGGAAUAACACAGUGAAGACUGUGCUAAUACCGCAUAAUGCAUUUGGGUCGCAUGAUUCUGAAUGCCAAAGAUUUAUCGCUCUGAGAUGGACUCGCGUCUGAUUAGCUAGUUGGCGGGGUAACGGCCCACCAAGGCGACGAUCAGUAGCCGGACUGAGAGGUUGGCCGGCCACAUUGGGACUGAGACACGGCCCAG
rnacentral:rRNA from 1 species